GUCCCAACUAGUCCUGCAAUCUGAAACUGAGAUAACAUUUAUUUUCGGAUAAUAACUUUUAAGCUUUCUUGAGAAACAGUUCCUUUUUGCAGUGGUUCUCAAACCAGUCCUCAAGACCCACCGACUGUUGGUGGACCAUGAGGACCGGUUUGAGAACCACUGCUCUGGUGGGUUUUUAAGCCUUUUUUUCUUCCACAGGUGGAAGGGGGUUAUGGAGG